CACUCGAGUGGCGAACGGGUGAGUAACACGUGGGUGAUCUGCCCUGCACUUCGGGAUAAGCUUGGGAAACUGGGUCUAAUACCGGAUAGGAGCCAUCUUUAGUGUGGUGGUUGGAAAGUUUUUCGGUGUAGGAUGAGCUCGCGGCCUAUCAGCUUGUUGGUGGGGUAAUGGCCUACCAAGGCGGCGACGGGUAGCCGGCCUGAGAGGGUGUACGGCCACAUUGGGACUGAGAUACGGCCCAG
rnacentral:rRNA from 1 species